rnacentral:rRNA from 1 species
GAGGAAUAUUGGUCAAUGGUCGAGAGACUGAACCAGCCAAGUCGCGUGAAGGAUGACGGUUCUAUGAAUUGUAAACUUCUUUUAUUCGGGAAUAAAGUGUAGUACGUGUACUGUUUUGUAUGUACCGAAUGAAUAAGCAUCGGCUAACUCCGUGCCAGCAGCCGCGGUAAUACGGAGGAUGCAAGCGUUAUCCGGAUUUAUUGGGUUUAAAGGGUGCGUAGGCGGACUUGUAAGUCAGUGGUGAAAGUUUGCAGCUUAACUGUAAAAUUGCCGUUGAAACUGCGGGUCUUGAGUGCAAAUGAGGUAGGCGGAAUGUGUUGUGUAGCGGUGAAAUGCAUAGAUAUAACACAGAACUCCGAUUGCGAAGGCAGCUUACUGGGAUGCAACUGACGCUGAUGCACGAAAGCGUGGGUAUCAAAC